rnacentral:lncRNA from 1 species
CAGGAGAUCAACAGUGUCAGACAUCGGCAUCCCUGGGACCCACAGACUAGCGUCAUUCAGUUAAAACUGAUUGAAGAAGCUGAUCACCAGGAUGCUCAGAGUGUAAAGAUGAAAGCGGUUGUUUCUCAGGAACUUCUUCCCAAGGCCAGUGCACAGAUAGAAACAUCCAACGAAGCUUCUGGCAGCAGCGCCCUGGAGCAAAUGAAAAAAGGGAAAGCCACAAAGCCAAAGAAUCCAUUCUUGUCUCAUGUUGCAGUCAAGAGAAAUGUUCAGAUGAAGCCUAUUUCUGAACAGCUGGCUGCAUUAAGCGAAACUGCUGGACCUGAGGAAAAGGAGGUAAAUGAUGCUUUCUAAGAAAUUACUUUGUAAGAAAUAAAAAGUAAAAUAUCAAAUGAAUGUAAUCA